rnacentral:sRNA from 1 species
GUUUCAGCGUGACUGAAACUAUAUGUAUACAUGUAACUAUCUUCAAAUGUGGCAAAUAAGGCGAUUAAGAACCUUACUAAGUAAUUAAUUGAAUUUGAAAAGAAAAACUGAUGUCUGAUCUUGUUUAAUGCAUAUGAUGAAAUCAUUAAUCUUAGGUACUCGGGCACGUGUAUACAUGUGUAUACAUUCUUUGUCCAGGUGACCUCCUCUGUGAUUUUCCUGUAUAUUCUGUGUGGAUUGCAGGGUUUUUUCUGUCAGGAGUGAACAAAAGACUGUUACAUAACAUAUACACAGUACGAAGCGUGAGUUUAUAACUGGAGCCCGGCGGGAAUUUUUUUUCGAUUUGUGUGUACCUGAGUUAGUAAAACUGAUAAGUAAAUUAUAAUUAAUUAGUAAAAUAAAUUAAUAUACCUAUUU